GAACAGAGCAGCUGCAGGCAGGUAAAGGAAUCUCAGCAUGCUGCAAAGUGUAGAGGUCCCCACGUAGAGAGAUUACAGGCAGAAGCAAAAAGUGAUGGAGAGACAGUGGAAUCAGCCAGAAGCCGAAAGCACAAAGUUGCACAAGGAUGGCAUAGAGCUGGCUGGGUGAUGAGAUGGCAGAUGGGACCCAAUGUUAAUGAAUGCAAAGCAAUGCACGCAAGAGAAAAUAGCACUGACAAAACACACACAGCGGCAGGCUCUAAAUCAGCUGCUGCCUUUGAAGGGAUGCUGCAUUCAUUGUGGAUAAUUUGCUAGAAAUGCCAACUCAGUGCUCUGAGGGAGGCAAGAAAGCAAACAGGCUGCUGGAAAUACUAAACAAAAGAAGAAGAAGAAGAAGAAAACAUAAUAUAAAUGCAGCACGCAUGUGUACUUUGAACGGCCAUCUGCACUCUUGGGCAUCAAUUACCCCUAAGAAGCAACAGCACAAUGUAUAAACUUAAAGGCAUCAGAUGUCAGUGGAAAAGAGGCAGUUGGAGGGGACCCGGAAAGCAUCCAACAUCCAAAAUGUUCAUAGAAAACCAAGACCUUAGCUAUAAAUGAACCACAGCCAGAUGUGAACAUCAUCUAUCCUUCUGUUCCUGAAAAACAAGGAAGACAUCAGAAAAAAAAAAACCAAAAAACCCCACUCUUUGGGUAACAUGUAAUGAGGAUGGUCAUGAGGGCAGCUGAGCAAACACCAGUUAGGAUCUGAUGGAUACAAACUGAAACAGUUCUGGGAAACCUUGUCCUCUCUUCACUGCUUCAACUCAAGUGGCA
ensembl:lncRNA